GGGGGUUGUGGGUUAGGGAUAGGCGCUUAAACUUCCCCUCGGGAAAACAAUCGGGUUGUGGCCGGAGCAGCGGAGCGAGGAGGCGACGGCAGAAGAGGACACAGCCCGGAACUGCAUCUGGGGAGGGACAGUUGUGUAGUACUGAAGAUGGAAUUUCGAAUUAAACACACCUGGGAUGGUUUGCCCGUGAGCCACGAGCCGGUUACAAUUGGGCUGAGGCCGGAUAAUGCAGGACUGCUGAUGGAAGUUCGAGCUCCUUUCUUUAAUGACCCUCCAGCACCUCCUGGAGAGCCAGGGAAACCUUUUGGUGGGCUGUGGGACUAUGAGGUUGUAGAAGCAUUCUUUCUGAGUGGCAGAACUGAGCAGUAUUUGGAAGUUGAGCUUUGUCCCCAUGGGCAGUACUUACUGCUGCUGCUUUCUGGCAGAAGAAAAGCAUGGAAAGAAGAGCUUCCUUUGGAGUUUGAGGUGACCAGAAUGAAAACCAAAUGGGAGGGUAAAGCUCUUCUUCCUUGGAGCUAUUUUCCACCAUGCACUGACAAGUUCAAUGGCUUUGCAAUUCAUGGCUCAGGAGAAGAGAGAAAUUAUGAAGCACUUUAUCCUGUGCCUCCACACCAGCUGCAGGAAGGGCAGGAACCAGAUUUUCAUCGUUUGGAAUUUUUCAAAGACUUGAACCUGAAAGAACUAACAGGAGAAGACUGGAAGCAGCCUGAAUCAGAUCUAUGGAAAUCUCUCACCAAGUGAAUGGAUUGAGGCAUAAAUUUUUAUAAUGUUGAAGUUGGCUGGAGCUGUGUGGAAACAACUUCCUCAUUCUGAGCAGAGGUUGUAGAUACCAGAUUAGCAAGGCUUUCCUUGGCACCAAAAUCAUGGAUCAGUCUGAAAAUCAACUGCAAAGCAUGUGGAUCUGUUGAUUCUAAAUGUAUGAAUGGCUUGGAGUUUUUCAUCUGUGCAAGAGAUUAAUCUUCUGCUACCAGUGAAGGAAGAAUGUGCUGAAAUUGCAGCUGUGCUUUUGUGAGAGCUCUGAAGUGUGACAAGGCCAAUACCUGGAUUGAAUCUUUUGUUUUCCUAUAGUUGCUGCAUUUCUGCUGUAUUUUCACUACUGCUCAUUUGUUUGUUGACUGCUGAAGGAGAUCCUUUUGUGCCUAGAUUUUUUGCUUACAAUCGGGAGGAAGAAUGUAGCUAUCAUGGAUUUUGGAGGCUCAGUACUUGCCCUGCAAGAAGCAUAACGCUGUCCUUUCCUGUAUGUUCCUGUGCCUGAAGUUUUCCCUUGCUUAAUGCCAAAGGGGGAACUUAUUCUGUCUCACAGACCUCUCUGUGGAGUUCCUAAUGGUGUUUAGGUGCAGAGGAUAGAUUUACAAAAGGUUUUCUGUAUUUCAGGUGAAGUUUCUGGGACAAAUCAUGCUUAGUAAAAUCUUUUGGUAUAGUUGUGUGUGCAAAAGUGGGUUUUUUUCCUAAGACUUGUCACAUCAAGUGACAUUUAAGAAUUAGAUGCAUCUCAGAUGUCUGAGGAUUUUUUUUUUUUUUUUUUUGCAUGCCACUGGGGGCUGGAGAUACUCCAGGUGUAUAUUUUCUGUGUAUGGGCAUGAGUCAUUUUAACAAUAGUGAAUAUUCUAAGGUGGCAACAUCUAAUCUGUAAACCCUCAUAAGACGUACAAAUCAUAUGUUCCUUUUUUUUUGUCUAGCAUAGCAGUUGCUGCUUGAUAGUGGCUGCUGAUUUAAUCUUAUAUAAAUUAUCUUAAAAAAUGUGAAGCUUGCUCACUAACUAGAUCCUUGCCAGUAUGCAGUAAUAAACACAUUCUGAUGGUCCUAUUUUUGUUGCUGUCUUCCAGCUUCACUCUAGCUGUAAGUUCUGCCUGGGAAGCAAAGAGGGUGGGAAUAUUCCUUUGUGAAGAGCAUCUCAGUCUGGUUAAUAUCUGAGAUAGCAUGUUAGUUCACAGUUUUUGUUUAGUUUAGAUUCCCUCUUUGUACUUCCAGUUUUAUAGAACUGUGCUUUCAAUUUUGAAGAUACUAUUUUUUUUUUUCCUCUGGCAGAUUUUGGCAUGUCAGUGCACUCAGCCAUCCAAUUGCUUUUGCAAUUAGACAAUAUAGGCUCCUUGCUGCAAAGUGCCACCUGUUGAAAAUUGCUGAUUUGUGAGAGGUGGUUCGAACAACCUGCAGUGAAACAACAUGAAAACUGUGGCUUAAGAGGGACAGAAAAUUCUUUGUCUUCAAUGCAAAAAUGAAAAAAAAUAUGUAAAGAAAACUUGGAUGGUAACGUGUGCUACUGGUAGAAGUGAUUUGUACCUUAAAUACAAAGCUGUAGCAACUUAGGCUUUCAGGUAACAUAGAAAUAUUUCUUGUAGUGAUCCUGCACAUUGGGGCUUUUUUUGGAUGCAAAAGCUCUUAACAGGAGUAAAAUUUUGCUCAUGUCUUUGUAUGCUUUUAAAUAUUUUUUUCCUAGUAUGCCAGGUCAGAUAUUAGAGCUAGGAAGCUCAAAUUUAAUUCAGGACUAUAUACAUUUUGACUGCUAUGGCUGAUACAGCUACUGCCUUAUCUGUUCUAGUUAUUAGAUACAUGAGCGAGUUAAUAUUUGUACUGCCCAGCACCAUUGAUGGUAAGUUACUGCUGAAUGUGAUGUUAAGUACUGCUGCUUGCAGUUCCUUUUUCAAGGCUGUUUUGUGCCUCUGAAAGGCACAGCACAAAAUGUUUUGUUGUGUUUUAAAUUCUGACCAUGUAAAAAUCCUUUCGAAAUGUGAAUGGCACAGUGCAUAAUUUGCUGCAUGUAAAAUUUAAAAGUAUUCUUCCCUGGUACCAGGGCAAUCUCUAAAGUGGAAUUCAUUGCAUUUAAUUAUGGUACAUUUAGAAUAAUGGUGCUGAAAUUUGAUAGUUAACCUGCAUUUAUUUAGUUGGUAAUUCCCUUCUUUUUUCUUUUGUUGAGUGCUUUAGUUUGCUGCAGUGUCUCUGAGCAGUGCUUCAGCAAAAGUACAGGGAAGUGUGUUAAGCCUGAUUUAUUUGCACAGGUUGUAUAAACAGCUGUGUAUGAACAUAUAAACAGCUUCAGUGAGAUCAAUACAACACUUAUCAUAAACUGUAUUGCAGUUAGGCCUUUUUCCAUCUCCUUGUCUGUCUGCUGCAAUUAGUAUUGUCAGGAGAAUUCCGUUCUGUCCAAGCUUGUUUUCAUUAUUCUGUUUCUAAACAGGUAAAAGCCUUGGCUGCAGGGGGUCUGUGGGAGGCUUUCCAAUGAUGGAUCAGGAGGCACUGUUUGUAUCUGCACUGGCUAUGAACAUACCAAAAUAUUUUCCUGUUUCAUUUUCAGAAAUUAUUCUGUAGACUCUCAUGAAGUAUGUGUGUAAAUACUGCCUGCCAGUUAUGUAGUGUAUUUGCAAAUACAAAUGUAUUUUUAAAUGCGGUAGACCAGAACUGACUAAAUAGUGUUAAAAUAGCUGAAGUAAACAUUACUGAAGUAAAAUUAAAUUACUAUGUCUUCACUGUUGUUUUAAAACCAGCCCAGACUAGUCCAGUAGCUUUCUUGGUCUAUGGAACAGAUUCUUGAGGGGGAAAAAAAAAGUUUUCAGAUGUUACCUUUUUAUAAUACAGAAAUUCCCUCUGUAGAGCACAUUUGUUGCCAAUUUAAUCUUGCCUUUCAUUUCAUGAGUUAUUUCUCUUGAACUCGGUCUCUGCAGGCAAUGAAAUUUAUAUCUUGGUGCCACUAGUAGCUGUCA